AGCAGUAAGGUGUUUUAGCAUUUCACUUUUUGGAGGUGGAGGGGGUACAAAGGCCUAUUGUUA
rnacentral:tRNA from 1 species